rnacentral:misc_RNA from 1 species
CCAAAUGCAUUGAAUGGAAGCUUUGUCUGAGCCUUGUAUAAACCAAGUUCCUCCAAAGUUGCCCCAUAGAACGGUGUUUUCUCCCCAUUCACCAUGAUUUCCAAUGGUACAGUCCUAGUUUUCUCCGUACUAGGAUCAAUAAAACCCUCAGCAGGACCUGCAGGAUCCCCCCAGUUUGGACAACAAACCCAUCCGCUCUCUGGAUUUCCAUGCCAUCAUAGAAGUGCCUUUCCACCAAGUCUACAAAGUUCCCAGCAGUUACAGGAGCAUUGUAACCAUCUAGAACAAUGCGGAACACACAAUCCUCUAUAUUAGGAUUGUCUUUAACCUUGACCUUCAUAUCCACAGCUGCUCUACCCUUCAAGAGAGGCAUACUUUGGUACUCUUCAGGCACUUCAUAAGGGAAGCCAUCCA